AACGAACGCUGGCGGCAUGCCUAACACAUGCAAGUCGAACGAGACCUUCGGGUCUAGUGGCGCACGGGUGCGUAACGCGUGGGAAUCUGCCCUUGGGUUCGGAAUAACUCUCCGAAAGGCGUGCUAAUACCGGAUGAUGACGUAAGUCCAAAGAUUUAUCGCCCAAGGAUGAGCCCGCGUUGGAUUAGCUAGUUGGUGAGGUAAAGGCUCACCAAGGCGACGAUCCAUAGCUGGUCUGAGAGGAUGAUCAGCCACACUGGGACUGAGACACGGCCCAGACUCCUACGGGAGGCAGCAGUGGGGAAUAUUGGACAAUGGGCGAAAGCCUGAUCCAGCAAUGCCGCGUGAGUGAUGAAGGCCUUAGGGUUGUAAAGCUCUUUUACCCGGGAUGAUAAUGACCGUACCGGGAGAAUAAGCUCCGGCUAACUCCGUG
rnacentral:rRNA from 1 species